AUGACACCAGAAUCUAACAUUUAUUGAGUUCUUGAUAUGUGAUGGGCUCUAUAAUAAGCAUUAUCUCACCUAAUCGUCCCAAAAUACUCUGCAUUAUAUAUUAUUAUUAUUACUUCUAUUUUACAGAAGAAGAGACUGAGACUUACAGGUUACAGAUGUUACAGAUCAUGUGACAAAGAAGUAGCUGAGAGAAACCUAAAUACAGGUGGGGACGAGGGAAGUCUCCUGUCUGCCCGGGGGUGCAAUUUAUCCACCACUUUCACUUGGAAGCUUGCCGAGAGCCACCCACCAGACCUGAGGUACUCACUGUCACUACCAGCGGUCACGCUGCACCCGCUGCAUGGCUCCACCAUUGUACUUCCCUCUGUGCUGUGACCAUCACUCUCUUGUCGGUCUCCUCCACUGGACAGAUAGCUCCUUGACAACAGGAACUUGUUAUCUUGGUUCCCGGACAGCACCACCCAUGCAACAAACAUGUAAUAGCGUGUUAUGAGAGCGUUGGGACUUUUGGUUGUGAACAACAGAAUCCAACGCCUACAGGUUUAGCUUGCAGAAGAGCCCGAUGAGAAGAUACUACUUAGCUCACAGGGUCACCUGGAGAAGCAAGAGCUUGCUUCAGUGGUAAUGCAGCCAGAAAAGGCCCCCAGUCGCUCCACAAAACUGCUCAUGUGUGGUCACUUCGCACCCCCCACAGAGAACCAGCCCUCCCACCUCAGCCAGCCUGUAGCAGCUCUGACUCAUCUGUUUGAUAUUUUGAGCUGUGACAUAAAUAUCCUUUGAAGAAAGGGUUUCAUAGAUUAAAAAAAAGAAGAAAUAUAUGGUCUGUAAGGAGAGGUCCAGGGGCUUCAUAAAUUGGUACUUAUAUUUAUACUUAGGUGUUUUAAUAAAGAUUUAUCACACUGAUUUAUUUUGGUAAUUGAGGAACUGUAAAAUUAAUAUUCAGUCACUCAGUCAGUUAUUUGUUCAUUCACCCAAUAUUUACAAAGUAUCCUUCAUGUAAAAGGCACUGCAGAGUUCCAUCUUCAUGACAGGCCUCGGUAAGUUUAAGACACUAUGCUCCUAAGAAAUGAACCAGGCAGGAAUUAUAGUUUCCAUUUUAUAGAUGAGUAAAUCAAGGCUCAGAGAAGCUAAGUGACUUGCUUACCUGAUGAGCCCACAGUUUGAAACAGGUCUUUCAACUGUGCUGCUUGGACUUGCCAAUCAUAUCAAAUAUUAUAGAGCACCCAAGCAGUGUGUGGUCUGAGAAGAGACUUCUGAAUCUGUCAGGUUGUGGGUUGUUGGGCUGCACCCCGCCGGCCUGCAAGCCUUGUAGCUGCCUGGCCUUAAGACCGAACAAAGAGCCCGGAGACAGUGAGAGAGACAUCAGUGGUUCAUUGGUUAGGGGACCUUACACAAAGGUCCUGGAGUGACAUCCCACCGUGUGCAGCAGCCAGCCAGCAGAAGCAGCAGUCUUCGCUUCUUGGGAGACAAGGACGCUACUAUUUAUAGGGAGAAUUGAGGUGAGGUGGGCUCAUCAGGCACUAAUUAAGCCCUAUAAUUAAGAGGAUUGGAUUCUCAUGUGAGUGUAGCUAAGACUGGUUGAGCAGGGGAUGCACAGAGAGCCAGAAGACAGUCAUCUUGAGUGACCUGACCAUGCAUAGGUCAUUGGUGGUGACCUUUGAGAAACAAUUUAUUUGGCUAGGUGAACGUGGCAACCAGGUUGUAGAGGGUUAAUUGGUGAAUGUGAUGAAGAAGUGGCACCAGCGAGCACAAACCAUUCUUUCCAAACAUUUGACAGUAAAGGAAAUGAUUGACAGAACUGUGGCUUGAGGAGAAAACAAUGAAGGUUUGGUGAGACUGGAACUUGAGCAUGAUUGUAGAUAGAGACUAUGGAGAUAAAAAGGCUUAAAAACAAAAGAGACUCAUAGACAUAGAAUACAAACUUGUGGCUGCCAAGGGAAAGGGGGGUGGGAAGGGACAGACUGGGAGUUAAAGAUUUGUAGAUACUGUCAGG